AGAGUUUGAUCCUGGCUCAGGAUGAACGCUAGCGACAGGCCUAACACAUGCAAGUCGAGGGGCAACAUGGUAUCAGCUUGCUGAUACCGAUGGCGACCGGCGCACGGGUGAGUAACGCGUAUGUAAUCUACCUGUAACAGAGGGAUAACCCGGAGAAAUCCGGACUAAUACCUCAUAGCACAUAUUAUUCGCAUGAAUUUUAUGUUAAAGAGACUCGGUUACAGAUGAACAUGCGUUCCAUUAGCUGGUUGGCGGGGUCACGGCCCACCAAGGCAACGAUGGAUAGGGGUUCUGAGAGGAAGGUCCCCCACACUGGUACUGAGACACGGACCAGACUCCUACGGGAGGCAGCAGUGAGGAAUAUUGGUCAAUGGGCGGAAGCCUGAACCAGCCAAGUCGCGUGGAGGAAGACGGCCCUACGGGUUGUAAACUCCUUUUACCUGGGAAUAACGGGCGCUACGCGUAGCGCUGUGCAAGUACCGGGAGAAUAAGCAUCGGCUAAUUCCGUGCCAGCAGCCGCGGUAAUACGGAAGAUGCGAGCGUUAUCCGGAUUUAUUGGGUUUAAAGGGUGCGUAGGCGGAAGAAUAAGUCAGCGGUGAAAUGCUUCAGCUCAACUGGAGAAUUGCCGAUGAAACUGUUUUUCUAGAGUAUAAAAGAGGUAUGCGGAAUGCGUGGUGUAGCGGUGAAAUGCAUAGAUAUCACGCAGAACCCCGAUUGCGAAGGCAGCAUACUGGGCUAUAACUGACGCUGAAGCACGAAAGCGUGGGUAUCGAACAGGAUUAGAUACCCUGGUAGUCCACGCCGUAAACGAUGAAUACUAACUGUUUGCGAUAUAAUGUAAGCGGUACAGCGAAAGCGUUAAGUAUUCCACCUGGGGAGUACGCCGGCAACGGUGAAACUCAA
rnacentral:rRNA from 2 species